ACGGAGAGAGGAGCGUGAAGUGCUUAAAUACUUAAACAUACAUUUUUGUUUUAUAAGAUGACAUUUCAUGAUAAUAAAGCCGGCAGAAUUGGAAACGGGUAAGAUUGAUAGUGCUGAUACAGGCUGGUAAACCGAAGGAGAGUGACGGGAGAAGAGAUUCUUCGUAAAAUAGAAAGAAGCACAUCGUGAGACGCAGGAGGAAUACCUGAGCCCUCGGAAAGAAGAGAGAUGAAUUUAAAUGACUUUGUGGUGCUUCCUAACAACACGGCCAAAUCCGUCAAGCUCAAUGCCAGGAACCUGCAAGUGCUACAGAUGGAGACGGUGUCGCUGGCCCACGAGAGCAAAGAGAUGGAGGAGAAACUGCAACAGCUGAAGGAGAGCAUGAGUAAAGAGAAGGAGGAG